UGCGGGGUAGAGUAGUCAGGAGUACUCACUGGGCUCAUGACCCAGAGAUCAGAGGUUCAAAUCCUCUCCCCGCAA
rnacentral:tRNA from 1 species